rnacentral:tRNA from 1 species
GGAGGGGUGUCCGAGUGGUUUAUGGAGCUGGUCUUGAAAACCAGUGAUGCUCUUGACGGGCACCGUGGGUUCGAAUCCCACCCCCUCCG